rnacentral:rRNA from 1 species
GAGUUUGAUCCUGGCUCAGAAUCAACGCUGGCGGCGUGCCUAACACAUGCAAGUCGAACGAGAAAGUGGAGCAAUCCAUGAGUAAAGUGGCGACCGGGUGAGUAACACGUGACUAACCUACCUUUGAGUGGGGGAUAACAUCGGGAAACCGAUGCUAAUACCGCAUCACAUCGGCGUUUCUUAAGAAGUGCCGAUCAAAGCAACAAUGCGCUUAAAGAGGGGGUCGCGGCUGAUUAGCUAGUUGGCGGGGUAACGGCCCACCAAGGCGAAGAUCGGUAUCCGGCCUGAGAGGGCGCACGGACACACUGGAACUGAAACACGGUCCAGACUCCUACGGGAGGCAGCAGUGGGGAAUUUUGCGCAAUGGGGGAAACCCUGACGCAGCAACGCCGCGUGGAGGAUGAAGUCCCUUGGGACGUAAACUCCUUUCGACCAAGACGAUAAUGACGGUACUGGUGGAAGAAGCACCGGCUAACUCUGUGCCAGCAGCCGCGGUAAUACAGAGGGUGCAAGCGUUGUUCGGAAUUAUUGGGCGUAAAGGGCGCGUAGGCGGCGCGACAAGUCACCUGUGAAAUCUCCGGGCUUAACUCGGAGCCUGCAGGCGAAACUGUCGUGCUGGAGUAUGGGAGAGGUGCGUGGAAUUCCCAGUGUAGCGGUGAAAUGCGUAGAUAUCGAGAGGAACACCUGUGGCGAAAGCGG